rnacentral:rRNA from 1 species
GACGAACGCUGGCGGCGUGCCUAAUACAUGCAAGUCGAGCGGACGAAUCGAAAGCUUGCUUUUGAUUCGUUAGCGGCGGACGGGUGAGUAACACGUGGGCAACCUGCCCUGUAGACGGGGAUAACACCGAGAAAUCGGUGCUAAUACCGGAUAACACGAAAUGUCGCAUGACGUUUCGUUGAAAGACGGCGCAAGCUGUCGCUACAGGAUGGGCCCGCGGGGCAUUAGCUAGUUGGUGAGGUAACGGCUCACCAAGGAGACGAUGCGUAGCCGACCUGAGAGGGUGAUCGGCCACACUGGGACUGAGACACGGCCCAGACUCCUACGGGAGGCAGCAGUAGGGAAUCUUCCGCAAUGGACGAAAGUCUGACGGAGCAACGCCGCGUGAGCGAAGAAGGCCUUCGGGUCGUAAAGCUCUGUUGUUAGGGAAGAACAAGUAACGCAGUAACUGGCGUUACCGUGACGGUACCUAACGAGAAAGCCACGGCUAACUACGUG